rnacentral:lncRNA from 1 species
GUUAAUUUCACCAUUUUUAUUUCUUCUUAAUCCUAAUAAUAUUUUUUAAUCUUUAGCAUUUUAUAUAGAAAAUUAUAUUGCUAGCAAACACUGACACAUGUUACCUUCGUUUCCACUUUGCAUGGCUUUAUAUUUUUUUCCUGUCUAGUUGCUUUGUCAAAGACUCCUUAUAUUAUUACUAUUUUUUAUAGAAGGGAGGAUGGUGGCUAUGCUAGUAUUAGUCCAGAUCUUAGAUGAAAGGGCCAUGCUAGUGUCUGAGACUAGCUGUGGGAAGCCAGACAAAGGGAGGGUGUGAGAAAUCUUGUUUUCAAUAGUUAUCAAAUAGACUCAGUCUCAUUUGCCCCUUUCACUAUCAUGCAGCAGAGGCUCAUGUGUUAUACCCAGUGAUGGUAUCAAUGAUAAUGAAGAUUACAACAUUAAAGUCAAGCUUUUAAGUCCAUAUGGUAUGUCACAUACCAAAUGCUUUUGGAUAUUAACUCACGUAGUCCCCACAUUAAUCUAUGGAGUUGAUAUUUUUUUCUUGCAUCUGUGCCUAAAAAGCUUGAGGUGGUUGAGUAAGUUGCCCAUGUUCAGCCAGGGCAGUCUGGCUACAGACUCGUCCAUAAUCAAUAAGGCUCUGUAGUCAUAUAACUGAAAGUCUUGCCUCUUGGCUAGACUUAGAUUGCUGCCAAAGGUAAUGUUCUUAAAAUACUAUGUUGGACAUUUUACUUCUGUGCUCAAAAGCCUUUUUGGCUUCUUCCCAAACAUGUAGUGAAGUGCAAACUCUCCAGCCAGGAAGCACACGGUUUGGCUCUGUCAAGUCAGAAUCGUAUUCCCUGCUCCUCCCAGACACCUGGCACCUGACAGGGAGACUGGUCACUGCCUGGCUCCUCACCCCUCACUCUUCUGUGCCCUACGUGUGACAGGUAUUUUUUCACCAUGUCUUUGGUUAUUGCACUCCCUCUGCUAAAUAUUUUCUACCUGUGCUUUUCUCGUGUAGCUAUUCAAGCUCAGUAUAAGACUUGGGUUUGACAGAGUGACCAAGAUGUGAUGAGAUUCUAAUUUGUUCCCUCAAACAUAGGGAUGUUUAGUUUAGAGGAUCAAAGAUUUAUAGGGACAAAACCAGUCUUCUUCAAUAAAAAGGGACUGCCAUGAGAACAAGGUUCAGAGAGGUUUUAUUCAGC